rnacentral:rRNA from 1 species
CGCGUAUGCAACCUACCUAUAUCAGGGGGAUAGCCCGGAGAAAUUCGGAUUAAUACCCCAUAAUACCACUAACUCACAUGGGUUUAUGGUUAAAGAACUUCGGAUAUAGAUGGGCAUGCGUUAGAUUAGUUAGAUGGUGAGGUAACGGCUCACCAUGACUUUGAUCUAUAGGGGUUCUGAGAGGAAGGUCCCCCACACUGGCACUGAGAUACGGGCCAGACUCCUACGGGAGGCAGCAGUAGGGAAUAUUGGGCAAUGGACGCAAGUCUGACCCAGCCAUGCCUCGUGCAGGAUGACGGU